GACGAACGCUGGCGGCGUGCUUAACACAUGCAAGUCUAACGGAAAGGCCCUGCUUUUGUGGGGUGCUCGAGUGGCGAACGGGUGAGUAACACGUGAGUAACCUGCCCUUGACUUUGGGAUAACUUCAGGAAACUGGGGCUAAUACCGGAUAGGAGCUCCUGCUGCAUGGUGGGGGUUGGAAAGUUUCGGCGGUUGGGGAUGGACUCGCGGCUUAUCAGCUUGUUGGUGGGGUAGUGGCUUACCAAGGCUUUGACGGGUAGCCGGCCUGAGAGGGUGACCGGCCACAUUGGGACUGAGAUACGUCCCAGACUCCUACGGGAGGCAGCAGUGGGGAAUAUUGCACAAUGGGCGGAAGCCUGAUGCAGCAACGCCGCGUGCGGGAUGACGGCCUUCGGGUUGUAAACCGCUUUCGCCUGUGACGAAGCGUGAGUGACGGUAAUGGGUAAAGAAGCACCGGCUAACUACGUG
rnacentral:rRNA from 1 species